AUUUUGGUGACUGUUGUGGGAGUUACUAAAAGUUUUAGUCACAUUUUUUGACUUUUUUGGUGACUAAAAAGGCUUUCAGUCACCUUUAGUAACUCCCACAACAGUCACCAAAAU
rnacentral:miRNA from 1 species